rnacentral:rRNA from 1 species
CCUACGGGAGACAGCAGUGGGGGAUAUUGCACAAUGGGGGAAACCCUGAUGCAGCGACGCCGCGUGGGUGAAGAAGCGCCUCGGCGCGUAAAGCCCUGUCAGCAGGGAAGAAAAUGACGGUACCUGAAGAAUAAGCCCCGGCUAACUACGUGCCAGCCGCCGCAGUAAUACGUAGGGGGCAAGCGUUAUCCGGAUUUACUGGGUUUAAAGGGGGCGCAGACGGCGAUGCAAGCCAGGAGUGAAAGCCCGGGGCCCAAACCCGGGACUGCUCUUGGAACUGCGUGGCUAGAGUGCAGGAGGGGCAGGCGGAAUGCGUGGUGUAGCGGUGAAAUGCGUAGAUAUCAGGAGGAACACCGGUGGCGAAGGCGGCCUGCUGGACUGCAACUGACGUUGAGGCACGAAAGCGUGGGGAGCAAACAGGAUUAGAUACCCCGGUAGUC